CAACUACUUCCUCUGUCCCAAUAUUCUUGUCUUAGAUUUGUGUAGAUACGGAUGUAUCUACACAAAUCUAAGACAAGAAUUUUGGGACGGAGGGAGUACUUU
rfam:Triticum aestivum genome assembly, contig: Triticum_aestivum_CS42_TGACv1_scaffold_499397_6BL